GGCCUUUUUAUCUGAGUGGGCCGGACCUAAACUAACAAUAGCAGCUCGCAUGUGGACCUGUUUGGUAGGAGGGCCCAUUCCUAGCUCCACAUGCGAGCUGGAGUUUGCAAGGUAAAAAUGAAAUAGUUUGUCUUAUAUCGAUCAUUUUAAAAAAAAAAUCAGGUGUAUCCCUGUUUUGAUUUAGCUCCAAAGAUUGUUGGAAUAUUUGUUUCAUAUAAACCAUAUGUUUUACUAGUGGUCGUCCAAAAAACCAAGUACUAUACCUUGAUCGUUGUGAC
rnacentral:lncRNA from 1 species